CCUAUUUCACCCCUGAACUCACUCACAGGUUACAGAGGGAUGUGCUUCCGUUUCCCUUUUUUUUUUUUUUUUUUCCCCCUUUCCCUUUGGUCUCAGGUGUGCUCUCAGGGUCCUCUUCUACAAGAUACCCUCAAGACAGUGAUCAUUAUCAGUACCCCCAUGAUAUGCUUUCUAAACUAACCAUCUAAAGUUCCUUCCAUUAACUACUGUAACAUCUGCCAUGAUGAACCUGCUCCUGGUCUGUCUCAUCUUUGAAAGACUUUGCUGAGGGAUGUGCCCUGGUACUUUUAACUCCAGGGACUUUAAAGAGCACUAACAGUUGGACCAACCUCCGUUGUCAAGAGCCUUAAUCCAGCAUUAACAUCUGCGUCAUAACACUUACCCAUGACUAAACCACUGCAGGAUUAAUGUAGGCUGACCACUGCAGCAGUGUUUAUUAUACAAUCUGCUUGAGCCUUUCAUCAUGUCAAAGAGUUUCCUCCGAGGUUGGCUGAAUCCGCAGAUGCAAAAACUACAGAUAAUGGAAGGUUGACUGUCCCCAAAUGCAUCCCAGACAUUUGUGUCUCCUACACUUGCUAGAAGCUGGCCACAAAUUUGAUUCUGAUGUUUAUCCACCAGCGCAGAGAGAGAAAUCAGACGUGGUGUAAGGUUCAUAAUGUUUUGUAAUACUUAAAAACAAGAAAAAAAAAAACAGAUUCUCAGAGAAAAUACACUGAUCCAAAAUGCUGAAUCCAGAGAGGAAUAUCAGGACUGAAGGUCCCCUUAGCAUCCUGACACUGAGUCUGGCACUGUGGUAACCGGAGCCCCACCUUACAGGCUGGUGGGCAGCUGGACAGAGAGCCAGGUUGUAGAUGCAGUUCCAUGGUGGCUCGGGUCCAGAGCUAGAAUGGCUUAUUCCAGAAGAGUCUGCAGAACUUAGAGGAGAAGGUGGGCAUGUGUCUUGAGGUCAGCCUCUGCAGUGGGGCCUCCUCGGCUGACCGUGUGCCUGAAGCCUGGUGCUGCCUGUGGAAGGGAUCACACGAAGAGUGAGCUGGUGGUUGAUCCAUAUGGGCUACACGAACAAGUCUCCUUGACCUGUGGCUUCCAGGCAGGUCCCACCAACAGACAUCAAGGUGAUGAAAAGAGAGGUUUAGGUGUCUCUUCCAGAACCCUCUGCCAGGCUACCACAGAUCAACUGUUUCCUUUUACCAAAGUCCCAGCUCCUGUCCAACGAUCCUCUCCACACAGCUAACCCUCCCAAGGAGGGCAGUGACUGCUCCUUCCCCUCUCCUUCAGGGCAGGAGAGGAGAUUGCCACAGUUCCUUGCAGUUUCCCUACACCUUGCCCAUGCCUUUGUCAAGAGCUCUUUCAUACAGUUUAAGCUUGCCAUCUAUUUGCUAUUGGGACCAUGGCAAAUCAAGGAGAUUUAUAUUAUCUCAAAUGUUGUAUCUAAAGGGAGACUUUAUUACUGUCUUCACAUUACAUGAUUUCGGAUUUGCUUGGUUCAAACUUGC
ensembl:lncRNA